CCUAUCCUGAUUUUCUGCUCUUGUGUUUGUAGGAAAGAAUGGGAAAGUGUCUCCUCAGGGGCAGCAGCGCCAUGAAGACCUGACUGAGGAGGAGCUGGCCAGAUACGUUCACGAGCUGCAGAAGCACCAGGAGACAGCUGAGAAGACCAAGCGAAUGAGCACCAAAGAGAUGUAAGGGGACUCUGUGCUAGAGGAGCCUGGGGGGCUGGGCCUGACCUGCUGCCCUGUCCCUCCAUGCCAACCUCAGUAUGCACAAGUGUCUGCUACCAUUGCCCAAUCACAGAUAUUUACAUUGUAUAGCAUUGGGAUUUUUGUUUUGUAAUGCAGUGGGGGAGGGGAGUGCCGCCCACACAUUCAGGGAGUGUUCACUGCUGGGGGGUAGCAAGGCCAGGAGGAAGUUAUCACAGCCCCUAUGAUCUCCCUUGUGGAGGGGAUCUAUGGAUCUGUGUAGACAAUGGCCAUGGAGGGCAGUCAGUGUAGGUUCUAUGCUAAGAGGGGGAUCUGGGGAAGGAGAGCGGGUUAGUGUUGGUGGGGAGGGGGUCUUUAGCCUUAUGCAAUGUUUGCAGCCUGCUGGCAAGCUCCAAUACGAGCUCUGAGGAACAGCAUCCACCAGCACUGGCUGCAGCAGUAUGUGAGGGACAGCACUGUGUCUGAGUGCAUCUCUUGUGUAGCACUGUCAUCCAGGGACCUUUGCCUUCCUUCACCCCAUGGCCAUCCACUCUCCAUUAACCUUUCUGCCUUAUACCACCUCCCUCAUCACAUCUCCCACUCUGUCCUUCCCCAAGCUCCAGGUCACCCCUGCUACUGCCCUUCCUCCAUGUGGCUCACCUCCUCCAUCUGCUCCCCCGUAUAGGGAAAUGACUUAAGAGAAAAUCGGCACUUGGCUUCAUAGCUAAAGUGAGAAUCCCAGGGAAGUGUGGGGGGUAGCGGUGGGGGGGCGGGGGGAGAGGGUCUUUAACCCUAUCUCCCCCGGGCUAUGAAGCACCUGGAGUCCCUGGUGACAUUCCACUGACAGCAAUCCAAUGUGCCCCUUGCCUUCAGCCAGCCAGUCCCCAGCA